rnacentral:rRNA from 1 species
GAUGAACGCUAGCGAUAGGCUUAACACAUGCAAGUCGAGGGGCAGCAUGGUCUUAGCUUGCUAAUACUGAUGGCGACCGGCGCACGGGUGCGUAACGCGUAGGCAACUUCCCUCACAGAGGGGGAUACCCCGUCGAAAUACUGACUAAUACCGCUUACACUCCCUCUUGGGCAUCCAAGGUAGAGGAAAUUUAAUUCGCUGUUAGAUAGGCAUGCGUUCCAUUAGCUAGUUGGUGAGGUACCGGCUCACCAAGGCGACGAUGGGUAGGGGAACUGAGAGGUUGCCCCACCAGAAUGGUACUGAGGCACGGACCACAAUCGUACGGGAGGCAGCAGUAAGGUAUAUUAGUGGAUGAAAGCGAGCCUGAACAAGCCAAGUCGCGUGAAGGAUGCCUGUCUUAUGGAUUGUAAUCUUCUUUUAUACGAGAAUAACAGGAGUAAACUGUGCCUCUCUGCAUGUACCCUAUGAAUAAGCAUCGGCUAACUUCGUG